rnacentral:rRNA from 1 species
GUCUACAGCCAUGCUACUCUCAACAAGCACGAUGUCUGAUCUCGGAAGCUAAGCAGGGUUGGGCCUGGUUAGUACUUGGAUGAGAGACCACCUAGGAAGACCAGGUGCUGAAGGCA